rnacentral:lncRNA from 8 species
AAACAUGGCCCACCUGGAGCCUACGUCCCCACGGUGGACGACAAUGGACAAUACACCCCUGAGCAAUGUUCGGGCUCUACAGGUUAACAGUGACGCACAUGCACACGAAAUUCACUUGAAUGUGAUAAUUCAAUGUGUAUAUAUUGUAUAUGCAACAUGUCUUUCUGGUAGGUUACUGUUGGUGUGUGACCAGCUACGGACAGAAGAUCCAGGGUACAGAGACCCCACCAGGCACUGCUAUCAACUGCUAGCAACUGUUCCACCAAGGAGUUCAGCAGAGUCCACAAUCAGAACCAUGCUACUCUGAGGCUGAAGAAUUGUUCCAGGCCACUGAGGGAUGAAAGACCCCUUUACUGAAUCUACAUCUUCACAUUUCACUAAAUCAUUGCGUUGUUUGCUUCAUGCAUUCUAUCAUCCUGUAAAAUAAAUGACAUGCUCUUCGUCAUUUGCUGCCAUCUGAUCUUUUAGGGCCAGACUAUGAUCUAUUAAUGGUUAGGGUACGUCAUGCCAAUAUUUGGAGGCAGGGAAGUAACUUGUAUGAAAAUGGUGGCUCAGUUGGUAGAGGAUGGUGUUUGCAACACCAGCUUGGUGUUUGCAACGCCAGGGUUGUUGUGGGUUCGAUUCCCACGGGGGGGCCAGUAUGAGAAGAAAAGAAAUGUAUGCAUUCACUACUGUAAGUCGCUCUGGAUAAGAGUGUCUGCUAAAUGACUAAAAUGUACAGUAUUAGCUAGCAUUAAAGUAUCGGUUAUUCACGUCAUUGCCCUAUAUGAACAGGACAUCCAAGAAGUGAAAUGAAUAACUUCAGAGGGUUAAGUAAAUGUUCAGCCUAUAAUUUUGUAACUAGUUUAUUUUAUAACUAAAACACACAUGACCAGAACAAUGUGGGCACCUGCUCGUCAAACAUCUCAUUCCAAAAUCAUGGAGUUGGUCCCCUUUUGCUAUAACAGCCUCCACUCUUCUGGGAAGGCUUUGCACUAGAUGUCGGGAACAUUGCUGUGGGGACGUGCUUCCAUUCAGCCACAAGAGCAUUAGUGAGGUCGGGCACUGAUUUUAGGCAAUUAGGCCUGGCUUGUAGUUGGCGUUCCAAUUCAUCCCAAAAGUAUUCGAUGGGGUUGAGUCAAGUUCUUCUACACCAAUCUCGACAAACCAUUUAUGUAUAAACCUGCACGGGGGGGGGGGGACUGUCAUGCUGAAACAGGAAAGGGCCUUCCCCAAACUGAUGCCACAAAGUUGGAAGCACAGAAUCGUCUACAAUGUCAUUGUAUGCAGCAGAAGACCAUUGUUCCUCCACCAAACUUUACAGUUGGCACUAUGCAUUCAGGCAGGUAGCAUUCUCCUGGCAUCUGCCAAAUCAAGAUGUGUCCGUCGGACUGCCAGAUGGUGACGCGUGACUCAUCACUCCAGAGAACGCGUUUCCACUGCUCCAGAGUCCAAUUGCGGUGAGAUACACACCGCUCCAGUCGACUGUUGCCGUUGCGCAUGGUGAUCUAAGGGUUGUGUGCGGCUGCUCGGCCAUGGAAACCCAUUUCGUGAAGCUCCCGACAAACAGUUCUUGCGCUGACAUUGCUUCUAGCGGGCUGUUCUAAACUCGGUAGUGAGCGUUGCAACCGAGGACAGACGAUUUUUACUUAGGCGUUACGCGCUUCAGCACUCGACGGUCCAAUUCUGUGAGCUUGUGUGACUUACCACUUCGUGGCUGAGCCGUUGUUGGUCCUAGACUUUUCCACUUCACAAUAACAGCACUUACAUUUACAAACUAACUUGUUGAAAAGGUGGCUUCCUAUGACGGUGCCACAUUGAAAGUCACUGAGCUCUUCUGUAAGGCAAUUCUACUGCCAAUGUUUGUCUAUAGAGAUUGCAUGGCUGAGUGCUCGAUUUUAUACACCUGUCAGCAAGGGGAAUGUUGCGACAAACAAAAAACAUCCAAUCAGUGGCAGUACUUUAGGGCGAAAACAGCAAGUUGAUGAAAGAGAAUGUCAGGUAUCAUGCAAGCUGGACAAUUGAGUGGAAAAAACAGCCUGGCCCGAUGAAUCUCUAAGCAGCAUCAGUCCACAGCCACAUCCUGCCUGGUGUCAACGGUACAGGCUGGUGGCGGAGGUGUAAUGUUUCCCUGGUACACGUUAAGUCCCUUGAUAGUUUCCAAGCCCUGAAGAACUCAAGCUUUUCUGGAGGCAAUGGGGGGGAUCCAACCCAGUAUUAGAUGGGUGUACAUGUCUUUUCAUUAUUUAAACUGGUCUACCUUCAGAUGAGUCUUGUGAGGCUUGUGUGAAAAGCAAAACAACCGCCAUUUUAUAUUUUGAUGGUGGGGUCAUAUCAAUGUCUUUUGAAGAAUGUUUAGGGAUUUUCACUCUCAUUAUUCCCAAAAGGUCUUAAUGAUGAAAUGCCUAUUUAUGUUUUAAAUGUGAACAUGAAUUAAUGCUGCCACUUUAGUUUACUCAUGUUUUAUUCUUGUACGGAAACUUACUUGAUAGGUCUAUGUCCUCUCUGUGAUUUUAGUCUUGUUUGACACGUUAUGUUCACACUUUAUUAGAAUACUCAUGAAACGCACAGUUAUUUUUGGGUAACACUUAUUUUCUCUCAUACUCCAACCCCAUUGGAUGCAUUGAACGGAUGUGGUUGGAGCAAUGUCUACAUAGAGGUGCAGGUUGUGAACACUGAAAGCUCUGACAAGGGCGAUACGUACAGCUUUAGAGCAGUCAGACUAGCAUAGUGUUCGGUGUUCUUUCUCG